GCCGCGGUAAUACGGAGGAUGCAAGCGUUAUCCGGAUUUAUUGGGUUUAAAGGGUGCGCAGGCGGGUUUUUAAGUCAGUGGUGAAAUACUGCCGCUUAACGGUAGAAUUGCCAUUGAAACUAGGAAUCUUGAGUGUGGUUGAGGUAGGCGGAAUGUGUAGUGUAGCGGUGAAAUGCAUAGAUAUUACACAGAACACCGAUUGCGGAGGCAGCUUACUAAGCCAUAACUGACGCUGAGGCACGAAAGCGUGGGGAGCGAACAGGAUUAGAUACCCUGGUAGUCCACGCUGUAAACGAUGUUCACUCGCUGUUUGCGAUACACAGUAAGCGGCUGAGCGAAAGCAUUAAGUGAACCACCUGGGGAGUACGAUCGCAAGGUUGAAACUCAAAGGAAUUGACGGGGGCCCGCACAAGCGGAGGAACAUGUGGUUUAAUUCGAUGAUACGCGAGGAACCUUACCUGGGCUUAAAUGUAGACUGCAUAGGAUGGAAACAUUCUUUCCCUUCGGGGCUGUUUACAAGGUGCUGCAUGGUUGUCGUCAGCUCGUGCCGUGAGGUGUCGGGUUAAGUCCCAUAACGAGCGCAACCCUUACCGUUAGUUGCCAACAGGUCAAGCUGGGGACUCUAGCGGGACUGCCACCGUAAGGUGAGAGGAAGGUGGGGAUGACGUCAAAUCAGCACGGCCCUUAUGUCCAGGGCUACACACGUGUUACAAUGGCCGGUACAGAGGGCAGCUACCACGCAAGUGGGUGCCAAUCCCGAAAGCCGGUCCCAGUUCGGAUUGGAGUCUGCAACCCGACUUCAUGAAGUUGGAUUCGCUAGUAAUCGCGCAUCAGCCAUGGCGCGGUGAUACGUUCCCGGGCCUUGUACACACCGCCCGUCAAACCAUGGGAGCUGGGGGUGCCUGAAGUCUGUGACCGUUAAGGAGCGGCC
rnacentral:rRNA from 1 species